rnacentral:rRNA from 1 species
UGGCGAACGGGUGAGUAAUAUAUCGGAACGUGCCCUGGAGUGGGGGAUAACGUAGCGAAAGUUACGCUAAUACCACAUACGAUCUACGGAUGAAAGUGGGGGAUUCGCAAGAACCUCAUGCUCGUGGAGCGGCCGAUAUCUGAUUAGCUAGUUGGUAGGGUAAAAGCCUACCAAGGCAUCGAUCAGUAGCUGGUCUGAGAGGACGACCAGCCACACUGGGACUGAGACACGGCCCAGACUCCUACGGGAGGCAGCAGUGGGGAAUUUUGGACAAUGGGCGCAAGCCUGAUCCAGCCAUGCCGCGUGCAGGAUGACGGUCCUAUGGAUUGUAAACUGCUUUUAUACGAGAAGAAACACUCCGACGUGUCGGAGCUUGACGGUAUCGUAAGAAUAAGGAUCGGCUAACUCCGUGCCAGCAGCCGCGGUAAUACGGAGGAUCCAAGCGUUAUCCGGAAUCAUUGGGUUUAAAGGGUCCGUAGGCGGUCAGAUAAGUCAGUGGUGAAAGCCCAUCGCUCAACGGUGGAACGGCCAUUGAUAC